rnacentral:lncRNA from 1 species
GCGGCCAGGGCCGCCAUGUGCCUGGUGUGCGGCCGGGUGCGUUGCGAUGGGAGACCCACCUAGACCCGGCCCUGGUGGCCAUGGGACGCAGCGACUCAGUCAGGAAAAGGGCAGGCGGUCGGAGAGGGGAAGUCGAGGUGGCUGAAACAACGCUGCCCCGCGGAGAUCGCGGGCCUCAAGGGACUGCCCUCCCAUCCUCCAUCCCCGCAAGGACUAAGGCCAAGCCGCGGCAGCCGCAGCCGCCGCCCCCUCUCCUCUCGUCCCCGGUCCCGGAGGCUCUGGGGUGCUGCCGCCACUGCAACUUUCUCCUGUGAUACCCCCUCUUUGUUAUGGAGCAGCUGAUCCGCUGACAUCACCCGGCGCCGGUGCGCUCCCUCCCUCGUUGAUUGACAGUUCCCUGUCCUUUCCCAGAAGUGAGGAUCCUUAGAACCCAAGGUGCUCCGGAGCUGCGCCGCCUCUUAAGACCAGGCAGUGGGCAGACCAGGCGGCGUUUACCUUUUGGCUUGGUUCACUGUUCGCCAGCCACGCGGUCCAGGUCGCCGCCGGCUGUUCGCUAGCGCCGGGGGCCUCGAGGGUACCCGCCUGGGGUGGGUGAGGGGCUCAGAGCACCUGAUACCCCACGAUGUGCCACCAGGGACUUGGAAGUGCGUCAUGCUGGGUGUUCCUACCACUAUCUCACUCCUGGACAGCUGGAGCGCACUCGGAACUAAGGAAGCCUUUGGUUCCUGAGCUUCUACUUCCUCUUGCCCUCGAGCCCCACUUCACUCGGCUCGCUACUGCCCAGAGUUGCAAAGUGCGGCGGGCCCAGGAGCGCAGGUGCCCCGUCCCCCUUCCACUGCCCAGCGCUGCCUCCACAAGCCAGUUCCCUCGACUCCAGGGGGCGUCCUGCGUCCUGGAUUCCUCCCGACUGAACGUCCUACCCAGGAGUCCCCAGUCUCCAUCUUCUUUCGCAUCUCCAGGCCCCUAGAGAGAUCCAGGAAUUCAGCAAACCCAAAUGGCAGCAGGCUGGUAAUCAGGCCGCACCCGAGCUUUGGCCGAUUCCUUCUCCUUGUCUUGAAGAUGGAGCCACCAAGCGGAGAGCCGGAGCCAGGACCCUGUGUCUAGCGCUCCUCCUUCUCUCGCCUCCGGUCCUGUAUUUGUGAUGUCCCUAGAUGUUUCUUUAGUUUCUCCAAGUGCCAACCACUUCACAGACUCAGGCAUCUUUGAGGGAAGAAAACUCCCUUCCCAGCCCAGCCACUUAAAGAGUGUCAUUAUGUCCUCUUACAGGUGGCAGCAAAGGAUCUCUUUAAAUAGCGGGUUAAAUGCAUGCGCAUGUACCCAAUGUACUGUGGAAUUACCCGGUGCUGGUCUGGCCUUCUGCCAAGAACAGUCAUCGUGGCGGGUGGGAAGGAUGGGGCAGGAACCAAAGAAAGUUGUUCCUUUUCGUUUUCUGAACAAUAAAUGAGGCAGGAUUUCAAGUCACUUCCAAAGCCUGAGAGAGUCCCCCCCCUCCUUAAUUUCUUAAAUGCCUUUUUUUUUUCAUUUUCUUUUUCUUUUUUAUUUAAGGCAGGAUCUCCUGUAGCCCGGUCUCUCACCUCUAACUCACUGUAUACAGGAAGACGAUUUUGAGCUAAUCAUCCCGCCUCUAUCUUCACAGCCCCAGGAGAAUGUCCUCUUGGAGGAGUGCGGUUAGCCCCGGUGUUAGGAGCAGCCUACCUGUGUCAAGAGCCUUUCCAUGUGCUGCUUUGAGAGUGUUUGGAACCGGCGCCCAUUCCCUGCCUCUACAGAAAUGGAUCUCGAAUGUGCCUAGAAGGAUCUGGGGCUGAGGCCGCCACUACUCCUAGCCCCUUGAUGAUUCAGGAAUGCCUCUACUGGCUGAGCACGCCCUCCGUCCCUCAGUGAUCCAGUCAGACAGGAAUUCAUCACUGAGCCACUACUCCGGACUCCCAGCUCCUAGCUCAUGUCCCUGCAGUGUAUCCAGUAAACUAAAUUUAGACCCUCGGGGACAACAGAGAAGGAGCCAUGUGGCCCAGAUCUCUGUCUUCGUGUGCGGUGGGCUAUAUGACAUGCUUGCCUUCUCCGAUCUGAAAACCUAGGCUAGAUUUGGGUCUAGUGAAACAACUUGGGGGUUGGGGAAAAGGCUACAAUCGGAAACUGCGCAUUUCUGUAACAAUAACUUCAGACAAAGUAAGAUGAAGAGGUUUGAAAAAUAAAUACAAUUGCCAUGAAAACCAAA